GAAUGCAGCUCAAAAUGGGUGGUAAAUUCCAUCUAAAGCUAAAUAUUGGCGAGAGACCGAUAGCGAACAAGUACCGUGAGGGAAAGAUGAAAAGCACUUUGGAAAGAGAGUUAAACAGUACGUGAAAUUGUUAAAAGGGAAACGAUUGAAGUCAGUCAUGCUUU
rnacentral:rRNA from 1 species